GACGAACGCUGGCGGCGUGCCUAAUACAUGCAAGUAGAACGCUGAGGGAGGAGCUUGCUCUUCUGGAUGAGUUGCGAACGGGUGAGUAACGCGUAGGUAACCUGCCUGGUAGCGGGGGAUAACUAUUGGAAACGAUAGCUAAUACCGCAUAACAGUAGAUGUUGCAUGACAUUUGCUUAAAAGGUGCAAUUGCACCACUACCAGAUGGACCUGCGUUGUAUUAGCUAGUUGGUGGGGUAACGGCUCACCAAGGCGACGAUACAUAGCCGACCUGAGAGGGUGAUCGGCCACACUGGGACUGAGACACGGCCCAGACUCCUACGGGAGGCAGCAGUAGGGAAUCUUCGGCAAUGGACGGAAGUCUGACCGAGCAACGCCGCGUGAGUGAAGAAGGUUUUCGGAUCGUAAAGCUCUGUUGUAAGAGAAGAACGAGUGUGAGAGUGGAAAGUUCACACUGUGACGGUAUCUUACCAGAAAGGGACGGCUAACUACGUG
rnacentral:rRNA from 1 species